AGUACGCAGUGCAGUGCAUGC
rnacentral:misc_RNA from 1 species